rnacentral:misc_RNA from 1 species
AGAGCCCCCAACGCAGAGCAAUACCCACCACUCUGCUCAAUAAACCCUAGAUCUCUCCACCGUAGCAAUGUCUCUCGACAAAUCCUCUUUAAACCAGACCAAGCCGCUCCGGUGGGGUGAGCUGGACGAGGACGAUGGCGAGGAUUUGGACUUCCUCUUGCCGCCCAAACAAGUAAUCGGUCCCGACGAGAAUGGGAUCAAGAAGGUAAUCGAAUACAAGUUCAACGACGACGGUAAUAAGGUUAAGAUCACCACUACUACCCGUGUCCGGAAGCUCGCCAAGGCUAGGUUGAGUAAGAGAGCUAUGGAACGCAGAAAUUGGGCAAAGUUUGGAGAUGCCGUCCAUGAGGAUGUUGGAAGUAGGCUUACUAUGGUUUCCACCGAGGAGAUCCUGCUUGAAAGACCUAGGGCUCCAGGCACCAAAGUGGAAGAAACUAAGAUGCCUGGGGAUAACUUGGCUCAGUUAGGUAAAGCUGGAGCUGUUCUUAUGGUGUGCAGAACUUGUGGUAAGAAAGGUGACCACUGGACGUCACGAUGCCCCUAUAAGGAUCUUGCUCCACAGCCUGAAGGCUUCAUUGAUAAACCAGCAGCAGCUGAGCCUGUUGCUACUGCUGCUGCUGGAGCCACCAAGGGUGCAUAUGUGCCACCAAGCAUGCGAGCAGGUGCAGAAAGAACCGUUGGAUCAGAUAUGAGGCGCAGAAAUGAAGAGAAUUCAGUUCGUGUCACCAAUUUAUCAGAGGAUACUAGAGAGCCUGACUUGCUUGAACUGUUCCGUACAUUUGGUCCUGUUAGCCGAGUAUAUGUUGCUAUUGAUCAGAAGACUGGUGUUAGCAGGGGUUUUGGUUUUGUGAAUUUUGUAAACAAGGAAGAUGCUGAGAGGGCUAUCAAUAAGCUUAAUGGAUAUGGUUAUGACAAUCUAAUCCUUCGAGUUGAAUGGGCAACACCCAGAUCCAACUAGGUAGAAAGAGUUGCCGGCUAAUUCUUCUGGUGAGCACAGUUUUGCUCUUUCAUUCUCUUCUUGAGGCCCCUUUUCUAUUCUCAUUCUCGAAGAUUUUGUUGUUGAUAAAGUUAUUUAUAUUUAAGAUUGAGUUGAUAUAGGAUAUUUUUAGGGCAUGAGGAAUGAAUGCUAAUUUUUCCCCUUAUGUUAUUGUUAUUUUUAUUGCUUAUCAUAAUUGGUUAAUUGGUUUUACAAAUGGGCAUACUUUAUGAAGUCAUUUUAGUAAAUAGUUCAUUAUACCUUUUUUGAUUCGUAUUUAGAAUGUUGAGUGGUAGUGCAGUCGCAUCAAAUGCUUAGGAAAGUCGUCAAGCCCCACCUUCAUGUUGCAAUUCAGUACUAAAAUCCACUUUAAUUGGCUAUUUUAUGACAAAGCAAUAGCAUCUGUGUGAAUCAUGGUACUUUGUUCUAACAGUGCUUCCGACAUAAACCCUUAUUAUUUUAUUGGAUUUCUGCAUUUCAAUAUGAAAGUAAAUUAGAAAGCACUAUGAAUGGAAUCCAUUCAUAGUAGCUUAGUGGUUAAUUUGGUGAGAUAAUCUUGUUUGUUAAACUUCUCGCACUAACACUAUGUUUGGGAAGGGGGAAAGGAAAAUAAAAGAGGGAAGGAAAAUAAAAAUGAAAAAAUAAGGAAGGAAAAUAAUUUAAAAAUUAUUUUCCUUCCCCUUGUUUGGAUUGGGAGAGGAAAAUAUUAGAGGGAAAGUUGUUUUAUAAAUAAUAAAAUUAUAAUUUUACCCUUAAAUUAAAAAAAAAAAAUUAUUAAGUAUAGGGAUAUUUUUGUAUUUUUUCCUUACUUUCCCCCCAUUUUGGAGAGAAAGGAGAAAAAGACAAAAAAAUUUUAUUUUCCCUCCAAUAUUUUCCCUCCCCCUUUAUUUUCUACUCAAUCCAAACAAAGGAAUAGAAAAUAAAUUUAUUUUCCCCUCACAUUUUCUUUCCCCUCUCACUUUCCUCCCUUCCCAAACAUACCCUUUAGGUCCUCCAGCUGCACUUUGGAUUUUUCUAGAAGCUCUUGCCCCAAUCACAAAACCAAAACUUCAUUUUCAGAUUCCAUUUGAUUGCUUAUAAAUGGAGAUAUUGACUGAUUAAGAUUGCAAUAACACCCCUUUUAUUUCAUCUAACUUUCUGUUUCCUUCUAAUUGGUUACAAAAGCUGCUGCUUUUUUUUGUUUUUUAAUUGAUUUCGGCUGAAA